rnacentral:rRNA from 1 species
GACGAACGCUGGCGGCGUGCUUAACACAUGCAAGUCGAACGGAAAGGCCUGCUUUCCCUUGUGGAUUGCGGGUACUCGAGUGGCGAACGGGUGAGUACCACGUGAGUGAUCUGCCCCCAACUUGGGUAUAAGCCUGGGAAACUGGGUCUAAUUCCCGAUAGGACUGCAGGGUGGUGCCUGUGGUGGAAAACGAUUUUCUAGUGGUUGGGGAUGAGCUCGCGGCCUAUCAGCUUGUUGGUGGGGUAAUGGCCUACCAAGGCGGCGACGGGUAGCCGGCCUGAGAGGGUGGACGGCCACAGUGGGACUGAGAUACGGCCCAGACUCCUACGGGAGGCAGCAGUGGGGAAUAUUGCACAAUGGGCGGAAGCCUGAUGCAGCGACGCCGCGUGGGGGAUGACGGCCUUCGGGUUGUAAACUCCUUUCGACCGCGAGGAAGCCACCUGGUUGGAAGGGUGGUGACGGUAGUGGUAGAAGAAGCACCGGCUAACUACGUG